rnacentral:rRNA from 1 species
AUUGAACGCUGGCGGCAUGCCUAACACAUGCAAGUCGAACGGCAGCACGGGGGCAACCCCUGGUGGCGAGUGGCGGACGGGUGAGUAAUACGUAGGAAUCUGCCUAUUAGCGGGGGACAACUUAGGGAAACUUAAGCUAAUACCGCAUACGUCUACCAAUUUAGCGAUUGGUAGGGAAAGCAGGGGAUCUUCGGACCUUGCACUAAUGGAUGAGCCUACGUCGGAUUAGCUAGUUGGAGAGUAACGGCCUACCAAGGCGACGAUCCGUAGCUGGUCUGAGAGGACGAUCAGCCACACUGGGACUGAGACACGGCCCAGACUCCUACGGGAGGCAGCAGUGGGGAAUAUUGGACAAUGGGGCAACCCUGAUCCAGCAAUGCCGCGUGUGUGAAGAAGGCCU